rnacentral:ncRNA from 1 species
CGUUUCCCCACUGGAGAGAGGCUGCAUGCACUGCAGCCCACCGAAGGAGCAAACCGCAGUCUGCGCACCCCUUUUAGGCGUGCACGCAGGCCCGGCGAAUCUCUCAGGUAAAGCGGACAGCGGGGGCAGC